GAUGAACGCUGGCGGCGUGCUUAACACAUGCAAGUCGAGCGAGAAGUUUUGAAAAGAUUCUUCGGAUGAAAUUUAAAAUGGAAAGCGGCGGACGGGUGAGUAACGCGUAGGCAACCUGCCCCAUACAAAGGGAUAGCAUUUGGAAACGAAUAUUAAUACCUUAUGAAACUUAACUAGUGCAUGCUAGGUAGGUCAAAGAUUUAUCGGUAUGGGAUGGGCCUGCGUCUGAUUAGCUAGUUGGUGAGGUAACGGCUAACCAAGGCGACGAUCAGUAGCCGACCUGGGAGGGUGAACGGACACAUGGGAACUGAGACACGGUCCAAACUCCUACGGGAGGCAGCAGUGGGGAAUAUUGAACAAUGGGGGAAACCCUGAUGCAGCAACGCCGCGUGAACGAUGAAGGCCUUUGGGUCGUAAAGUUCUGUUCUAGGUGAUGAAAACUGACAGUAACCUAGGAGAAAGCCCCGGCUAACUCCGUG
rnacentral:rRNA from 1 species